rnacentral:rRNA from 1 species
ACUCCUACGGGAGGCAGCAGUAGGGAAUCUUCCGCAAUGGACGAAAGUCUGACGAAGCAACGCCGCGUGAGCGAAGAAGGCCUUCGGGUCGUAAAGCUCUGUUGUUAGGGAAGAACAAGUAUCGGAGUAAACUGCCGGUACCUUGACGGUACCUAACCAGAAAGCCACGGCUAACUAUCGUGCCAGCAGCCGCGGUAAU